AGCAGCCGCGGUAAUUCCAGCUCCAAUAGCGUAUAUUAAAGUUGUUGCAGUUAAAAAGCUCGUAGUUGAAUUUUGGGUUCUUUCAAUUGGUCCAUCUUUUAGAUGAGUACUGGUUGUGUGGGGUCUAUCCGCCUGGUGAUACGUAAUGUCCUUCAUUGGAUGUUUCGGGUAGUCAGGACCUUUACCUUGAAAAAAUUAGAGUGUUUAAAGCAGGCUUAUGCCGGAAUACAUUAGCAUGGAAUAAUAGAAUAGGACGAAGUUGUUUUAUUUUGUUGGUUUCUAGGACAACCGUAAUGAUUAAUAGGGAUAGUUGGGGGCAUUAGUAUUCAAUUGUCAGAGGUGAAAUUCUUGGAUUUAUUGAAGACUAACUACUGCGAAAGCAUUUGCCAAGGAUGUUUUCAUUAAUCAAGAACGAAAGUUAGGGGAUCGAAGACGAUCAGAUACCGUCGUAGUCUUAACCAUAAACUAUGCCGACUAGGGAUCGGGCGAUGUUGUUUCCAUGACUCGCUCGGCACCUUAU
rnacentral:rRNA from 1 species